UGCCAUAGAUGGAGCAUCUUCACAUUUUUAUAGAAUUACCUCUGAGAACAACAGGGGUUUAAAAACUGCGUGGCAUUUGUGUCAUGUUUCUCCAUGUUAAUCGCCCAUCUUUGUUUAAUUGAAUAUCAUCAGUUAUUUCUUCGACCCCCCCUUUUUCUUUGGGGUUUUAUACGAAGAAAAUGGAAUGUGGCUGAUGAGACCAUGAGAUAAUGGUUCCCACAUGAGAGAGGGAGGAGAGGCACUAGGUUCAUUAAAUGGGAGCAGGGUCCAUUGCUAAUUCUUGUAGUUAGCCUGGUUUUGAAUGCUUCUGUUCAGUUGAAAUCUUAACUUUAGUGGAUCCCGUAUUUCAUAAAGUCAUACAAGUUGAACUGUUGGAAGGUUCACUGAAUUCUUUAGCAAUGUGGAACAUUAUGUCUAAUCAUUUAUUGCAGGUAAGGAAAGGGCAUUCCAAGAUCUAUCAGAAAGUUGAUGUGUUAGAUAAACAAUACUCGAGGGCAUGGGUGUACUUCUUACAGAGGAAGAACAACAGAAAUGUGAACAAAACACAUGUAUCGUUUGAAAAGAAGAGAGACUCCUGGCUGUACAUGGAGCCGGCCAUACAGUAUUAGCUCACUUGUUUCCUUCCUUUGAUUGGCAUGCAUUUUCCCAGCUCCUGCCUGGAGGCAAGGAAACUGCAAUAUCUGUUUUCUACUCACGAGAAGAUAUGAUUGACCAAGGAUACACAACCUUCGGCUACUUGAAGAUGCAAAUGGUGGUAGCUCAUGGUGGACGUUGUGCUGAACGUCUUGUGCAUGGUGAGGACGUUACUGAUGGAGGAGGUGAUGAUCUUGAAAAAAUAACAAAGGUAAAUGCGGUAAUUUGAGCAUAACAUCGUUUGGGCAUGUCCAUGGACUGGGCCUAAUCGUCUGCCCAAUAUUCCCAUUUGAUUACUAAAAAGUAACAAGAGGAAAAAGGUAGCAAUUAGGAAUUGCUGAAGUCUCUUUGAUAAAGAUUUUAGGUAUUGUUUAUAGUUUAGGGUAGGCAUUUUGGUGGUUGUCCUUCGACAAAAUGCUUUCUUUCCAGAUCGCUAGAGAGAUGGCAAUCAGCCCUAUGGUUUCAUCAGCGUGACCCAAACACAGAUGCAUAUUUUUUUGUUCUCUGUCUAGAAUUUUACGUUACUGUAUUGCCAUAGCAGAACAAUAUUGUAUAGUUAUGCAUCCAGUGACUGUGUUAUUGAUCAUUCACAUCCAAUUCCUUGUCGGUUUCUUCUAAAUGGCGUUUUUCUUGAAUGUAUGUUUUGUUACGUACAAUUCAUCUUGACGAAACAAAUCUAUAUUCCUCUUCGCCUUGCACUGAA